CUGGCAUGGCUGUCGUCAGCUCGUGUCGUGAGAUGUUGGGUUAAGUCCCGCAACGAGCGCAACCCUUGUCAUUAGUUGCCAUCAUUUGGUUGGGCACUCUAAUGAGACUGCCGGUGACAAACCGGAGGAAGGUGGGGAUGACGUCAAGUCCUCAUGGCCCUUAUGGGUAGGGCUUCACACGUCAUACAAUGGUCGGUACAGAGGGUUGCCAACCCGCGAGGGGGAGCUAAUCCCACAAAGCCGAUCGUAGUCCGGAUCGCAGUCUGCAACUCGACUGCGUGAAGUCGGAAUCGCUAGUAAUCGUGGAUCAGAAUGUCACGGUGAAUACGUUCCCGGGUCCUU
rnacentral:rRNA from 1 species